rnacentral:rRNA from 1 species
GAAUAUUGGACAAUGGGGGCAACACUGAUCCAGCCAUGCCGCGUGUGUGAAGAAGGCCUUUUGGUUGUAAAGCACUUUAAGCAGUGAAGAAGACUGCAUGGUUAAUACCCCUGGAAGAUAACAUUAGCUGCACAAUCAGCACCGGCGAACACUGUGCCAGCAACCGCGGUAAUACAGAGGGUGCAAGCGUUAAUCGGAAUUAAUGGGCGUAAAGCGAGCGUAGGUGGCUUGAUAAGUCAUAUGUUAAAUCCCCGGGCUUAACCUGGGAACUUCAUCUGAUACUGUUAGGCUAGAAUAGGUGAGAGGAAGGUAGAAUUCCAGGUGUAGCGGUGAAAUGCGUAGAGAUCUGGAGGAAUACCGAUGGCGAAGGCAGCCUUCUGGCAUCAUAUUGACACUGAGGUUCGAAAGCGUGGGUAGCAAAC